UAAUUUUCUCAUGUUUUUGAGUUGCCACAAUAAUUUCAUGUUUUUGAGUAUUAUGAUCCUCAUCUGAAUAGGAAGAUCUGAUGC
rfam:Capsicum annuum cultivar Zunla-1 chromosome 6, whole genome shotgun sequence